rnacentral:lncRNA from 1 species
AAGUAGUAAAAAAUACCAACAAAAGCUUCAAAAUUUUUAACAAACAUAUUGACAAUCACAUGUGUAAGGAUCAAAACAUUUUCCAUAAGCAAAUUUCCCCUUCAAGUCUCGACAAUAAUCAUUACAAUUUCCAUCUUGACAACCAGUUGGCAUUGUUGAAAAUGUGUGACAAAACUUAAUGUUUAUUUUACUAUUGGUAUUCCCCUCACCUAAAAAACAAAUGACAUAAUUAAACAAGUUGUGAUAUAAAAACACACUAAAUCGAAAAAAAAUGAUGUAUAAGUUACCUGUUGUUACAAUUGAUGUUUUUGUUACGGUUGAUAUUGUGAUCAAUACUAAAAGGAUAGCAUACAUGUUAAGAAGCUUCAUGAUUGACGUUUGUAUGUUUUUUAUAUCGGUUUCUCUUGGUUU